rnacentral:rRNA from 1 species
UACGUAGGGUGCAAGCGUUGUCCGGAAUUAUUGGGCGUAAAGAGCUCGUAGGCGGUUUGUUGCGUCGGCUGUGAAAUCCCGAGGCUCAACCUCGGGUCUGCAGUCGAUACGAGCAAACUAGAGUGUUGCAGGGGAGACUGGGAAUUCCUGGUGUAGCGGUGAAAUGCGCAGAUAUCAGGAGGAACACCGGUGGCGAAGGCGGGUCUCUGGGCAACAACUGACGUGGAGGAGCGAAA